rnacentral:rRNA from 2 species
AAAGAUUAAGCCAUGCAUGUCUAAGUAUAAGCAAUUAUACAGCGAAACUGCGAAUGGCUCAUUAUAUAAGUUAUCGUUUAUUUGAUAGUACCUUACUACUUGGAUAACCGUGGUAAUUCUAGAGCUAAUACAUGCUAAAAAUCCCGACUUCGGAAGGGAUGUAUUUAUUAGAUUAAAAACCAAUGCCCUCCGGGGCUCACUGGUGAUUCAUGAUAACUUCUCGAAUCGCAUGGCCUUGCGCCGGCGAUGGUUCAUUCAAAUUUCUUCCCUAUCAACUUUCGAUGUUUGGGUAUUGGCCAAACAUGGUUG